GGCCAGACUCCUACGGGAGGCAGCAGUGGGGAAUAUUGCACAAUGGGGGAAACCCUGAUGCAGCGACGCCGCGUGAGUGAAGAAGUAUUUCGGUAUGUAAAGCUCUAUCAGCAGGGAAGAAAAUGACGGUACCUGAAGAAGAAGCCCCGGCUAACUACGUGCCAGCAGCCGCGGUAAUACGUAGGGGGCAAGCGUUAUCCGGAUUUACUGGGUGUAAAGGGGGCGCAGACGGCGAUGCAAGCCAGGAGUGAAAGCCCGGGGCCCAACCCCGGGACUGCUCUUGGAACUGCGUGGCUGGAGUGCAGGAGGGGCAGGCGGAAUUCCUGGUGUAGCGGUGAAAUGCGUAGAUAUCAGGAGGAACACCGGUGGCGAAGGCGGCCUGCUGGACUGCAACUGACGUUGAGGCCCGAAAGCGUGGGGAGCAAACAGGAUUAGAUACCCUCGUAU
rnacentral:rRNA from 1 species